rnacentral:rRNA from 1 species
UUUCCACAAUGGGCGAAAGCCUGAUGGAGCAACGCCGCGUGCAGGAUGAAGGCCUUCGGGUCGUAAACUGCUUUUCUCUGUGACGAUUAUGACGGUAGCAGAGGAAUAAGGGUCGGCUAACUACGUGCCAGCAGCCGCGGUAAUACGGAGGGUGCAAGCGUUAUCCGGAUUCACUGGGUUUAAAGGGUGUGUAGGCGGGCUGUUAAGUCAGUGGUGAAAUCUCCGGGCUCAACCCGGAAACUGCCAUUGAUACUAUCAGUCUUGAAUUUUGUUGAGGUAGGCGGAAUAUGUCAUGUAGCGGUGAAAUGCUUAGAUAUGACAUAGAACACCGAUUGCGAAGGCAGCUUACUAAGCAAAUAUUGACGCUGAGGCACGAAAGCGUGGGGAUCAAACAGG